CCGAAGUGGCGGACGGGUGAGUAACGCGUGGGUAACCUACCUCAUACAGGGGGAUAACAGUUGGAAACGGCUGCUAAUACCGCAUAAGCGCACAGUACCGCAUGGUACCGUGUGAAAAACUCCGGUGGUAUGAGAUGGACCCGCGUCUGAUUAGCUAGUUGGUGGGGUAACGGCCUACCAAGGCGACGAUCAGUAGCCGACCUGAGAGGGUGACCGGCCACAUUGGGACUGAGACACGGCCCAA
rnacentral:rRNA from 1 species